rnacentral:rRNA from 1 species
GACGAACGCUGGCGGCGUGCUUAACACAUGCAAGUCGAACGGAAAGGCCUGCUUUCCCUUGUGGAUUGCGGGUACUCGAGUGGCGAACGGGUGAGUAACACGUGAGUGAUCUGCCCCCAACUUGGGUAUAAGCCUGGGAAACUGGGUCUAAUUCCCGAUAGGACUGCAGGGUGGUGCCUGUGGUGGAAAACGAUUUUCUGGUGGUUGGGGAUGAGCUCGCGGCCUAUCAGCUUGUUGGUGGGGUAAUGGCCUACCAAGGCGGCGACGGGUAGCCGGCCUGAGAGGGUGGACGGCCACAUUGAGACUGAGAUACGGCCCAGACUCCUGCGGGAGGCAGCAGUGGGGAAUAUUGCACAAUAGGCGGAAGCCUGAUGCAGCGACGCCGCGUGGGAGAUGACGGCCUUCGGGUUGUAAACUCCUUUCGACCGCGAGGAAGCCACCUGGUUGGAAGGGUGGUGACGGUAGUGGUAGAAGAAGCACCGGCUAACUACGUG